CAGGACUCGCAAGACUCCUACAACCCUGUGAACUUAACUAUAAGCACGUUGCUUCGGCGGGUUGUCUCGGCGAGGGUUUCUCCCUCCCCGGGGCGCUAAGCCCGCCGGCAGCCUACUAUACUCUGUCUCUUUGCGUUGGCAUCUCGAGUACAAUCAAACAAGUUUA
rnacentral:misc_RNA from 1 species